AUUGAACGCUGGCGGCAGGCCUAACACAUGCAAGUCGAACGGUAACAGGAAGCAGCUUGCUGCUUUGCUGACGAGUGGCGGACGGGUGAGUAAUGUCUGGGAAACUGCCUGAUGGAGGGGGAUAACUACUGGAAACGGUAGCUAAUACCGCAUAACGUCGCAAGACCAAAGAGGGGGACCUUCGGGCCUCUUGCCAUCGGAUGUGCCCAGAUGGGAUUAGCUAGUAGGUGGGGUAACGGCUCACCUAGGCGACGAUCCCUAGCUGGUCUGAGAGGAUGACCAGCCACACUGGAACUGAGACACGGUCCAGACUCCUACGGGAGGCAGCAGUGGGGAAUAUUGCACAAUGGGCGCAAGCCUGAUGCAGCCAUGCCGCGUGUAUGAAGAAGGCCUUCGGCUUGUAAAGUACUUUCAGCGGGGAGGAAGGGAGUAAAGUUAAUACCUUUGCUCAUUGACGUUACCCGCAGAAGAAGCACCGGCUAACUCCGUG
rnacentral:rRNA from 1 species